CAGGUUUACCUGUGUGACUGCGUACCUUUUGUAUAAUGGGUCAGCGACUUAUAUUCUGUAGCAAGGUUAACCGAAUAGGGGAGCCGGAGGGAAACCGAGUCUUAAUUGGGCGUUAAGUUGCAGGGUAUAGACCCGAAACCCGGUGAUCUAGCCAUGGGCAGGUUGAAGGUUGGGUAACACUAACUGGAGGACCGAACCGACUAAUGUUGAAAAAUUAGCGGAUGACCUGUGGCUGGGGGUGAAAGGCCAAUCAAACCGGGAGAUAGCUGGUUCUCCCCGAAAGCUAUUUAGGUAGCGCCUCGUGAAUUCAUCUCCGGGGGUAGAGCACUGUUUCGGCUAGGGGGCCAUCCCGGCUUACCAACCCGAUGCAAACUGCGAAUACCGGAGAAUGUUAUCACGGGAGACACACGGCGGGUGCUAACGUCCGUCGUGAAGAGGGAAACAACCCAGACCGCCAGCUAAGGUCCCAAAGUCAUGGUUAAGUGGGAAACGAUGUGGGAAGGCCCAGACAGCCAGGAUGUUGGCUUAGAAGCAGCCAUCAUUUAAAGAAAGCGUAAUAGCUCACUGGUCGAGUCGGCCUGCGCGGAAGAUGUAACGGGGCUAAACCAUGCACCGAAGCUGCGGCAGCGACGUUUAUGCGUUGUUGGGUAGGGGAGCGUUCUGUAAGCCUGCGAAGGUGGCCUGUGAGGGUUGCUGGAGGUAUCAGAAGUGCGAAUGCUGACAUAAGUAACGAUAAAGCGGGUGAAAAGCCCGCUCGCCGGAAGACCAAGGGUUCCUGUCCAACGUUAAUCGGGGCAGGGUGAGUCGACCCCUAAGGCGAGGCCGAAAGGCGUAGUCGAUGGGAAACGGGUUAAUAUUCCCGUACUUGGUGUUACUGCGAAGGGGGGACGGAGAAGGCUAUGUUGGCCGGGCGACGGUUGUCCCGGUUUAAGCGUGUAGGUGUGUGUUCCAGGUAAAUCCGGUUCACUUUAACACUGAGGCGUGAUGACGAGGCACUACGGUGCUGAAGCAACAAAUGCCCUGCUUCCAGGAAAAGCCUCUAAGCAUCAGGUAACAUCAAAUCGUACCCCAAACCGACACAGGUGGUCAGGUAGAGAAUACCAAGGCGCUUGAGAGAACUCGGGUGAAGGAACUAGGCAAAAUGGUGCCGUAACUUCGGGAGAAGGCACGCUGACACGUAGGUGAAGUGAUUUACUCAUGGAGCUGAAGUCAGUCGAAGAUACCAGCUGGCUGCAACUGUUUAUUAAAAACACAGCACUGUGCAAACACGAAAGUGGACGUAUACGGUGUGACGCCUGCCCGGUGCCGGAAGGUUAAUUGAUGGGGUCAGCGCAAGCGAAGCUCCUGAUCGAAGCCCCGGUAAACGGCGGCCGUAACUAUAACGGUCCUAAGGUAGCGAAAUUCCUUGUCGGGUAAGUUCCGACCUGCACGAAUGGCGUAAUGAUGGCCAGGCUGUCUCCACCCGAGACUCAGUGAAAUUGAACUCGCUGUGAAGAUGCAGUGUACCCGCGGCAAGACGGAAAGACCCCGUGAACCUUUACUAUAGCUUGACACUGAACAUUGAGCCUUGAUGUGUAG
rnacentral:rRNA from 1 species